CCAAGAUUCCCCUCCUCGGGUGUGUGUGCCCUUCAUAACACCUCGUCCUUGAGUGCAGGUGGGCCUGCGUUAAUUAGGCGAGCCCUUGUGAGAGAGGUCUAAAGAUAGAAGACAUGAAAGAGAUUCAGAGCUGCAGAAGAUGCUCUCCUGUUGUUCUGCAAGGGGCAGACUGCCAUAUGUGAGAGGCUCUAUGGAGAGGCCACACAGGAAGCAAGGACCUGCAUGCAGCCUCCAGGAGCUGAGAGCGGUCCCUGGCCAAAAGCUGGCAAGGAAUUGGAGACCUCAGUCCUACUGCCAUAAGGACAUGCAUCCUGCCAACAACCAGGGAUCUUGGAAUGAGAACAUAAGCCUCAGAUGAGAUGGCAGUCCCAGGUGACACCUUGAUUUCAGCCUGAGAGUUGAAAUUAAUUCUGACACAGGAAGCAAAAGUGGAAGUGAGAAACUAAUAAAGAGAUGACUGCAGUAUUCCAUGUGAGAGAUGAAGUUGAUGUGGACCAGGGCAAAUGGUGGAAGUGCUGGGAGGUGUAAGAUACCAAAUAUACUUUGAAGAAAACCAACAUAGCACUGUGAAGAGGGAAUUUGCCCCACUUUGCAAAUGGGGAUAGCUGAGGACCAGCCUGGGCAAGAGCCAAACCCAAGUCUAUCUGCCUUCAGAACCCAAGAGACCUACACAGCCCAAGAGAACAGAGGUAGCCAAGGGCCCAUGGUGGGAAAGUACAGGGUGGGUUUAGAGAAGAGAAGGGGUGCAAAUC
rnacentral:lncRNA from 1 species